AGCAACACCCUCCGAAAGGGAUCUUGGAAGAUCCAAGAGCCGAGUAGGGGGCGCCCAGGAGCACCCCUGCAGGCUAAAAGAUUCUCAGGCUCAGCUUCCCUCUCCCGGCCCAGGCUGGAGGACCCCGCAAAGCUUGCAUUCCUGUUCCAGCAGGGCAGGACCUGAACCACUCUCCAUCUGCAGAGACUCCAGUCCACAGAAAGCCAGAGCCCCCUCGCAGCCUUCUGCUCCGUUUGCGAGGAUCAUGUCUCCACCUCUAGUAGCCAUAAGCGGGGGUGGGAGACGGGGACAAGAGCAGAAUCACCAGGGAACACGCCCCGCUCCCCGUUCCUGGUCAGAGAAGUGGCCAAAAGUGCCCCCACAGGACUUCCCACCGGAAGGGGAAGUGCCACAUUCCCAGGCCUCCACCCAGUGGGGAGACUCGCAGCCUGACCCAGCUGGCAGAGCUCUCAAACCCACCGGCCCGACGCCCCCUGACGAGGAACCAGAGGCCAGAACAGACACCGGGUUUUGUCCACGCUCAAACCGGUUGCCCCGCGGAGGCUAGAACUGAGUUCAGAGGAAGGCGCCAAGCCUCAAACAACGAGGUGGAGAGGCCAGUCCGUUUUGGGCAGGAUCCUACUGUGGACACAGAACAGACAGCAGCUGCCCACAGUGUGGAAACAAACUGUAAAGCAGUCACGUCUCUUAAGGCUGCAGCAUCCAAUAAAAUGUAAUUUAAAUCAA